rnacentral:lncRNA from 1 species
UGUUUUAUGGCAGUAUUUGAAAAUGACAUCUAAAAAUUAAGAGAUGAACUCAUAUAGAGUUUUAAGAGAUGAAUCGAUGAGAUUCAUUUAAAGAAUAAAUAUUGGAGUAUAAUAUUUUGUUAUAACAAAGAUUUUAUUGGGGAGUACUAAUUAAGUUAUUAAACUUGAUUGUAGGAUGUCAGGUGAAGAAGAAAUUAAAGAUAUCCAUGUGGUGAGUGAAGAAUUCAUAGUUGCACCUGAGCUAGUCGCAGAGGUAGCAGCUGAGAGUUAGGAAGAAGAGGAACCCGAGGAGAAUUUAUUAGGAGAACUUUAUGAUCGAAAUGUAGAACUGCAAAAUCGUAUUCAUGAGUUAGAAGAGCAGGCUGAAGAACGGUAGGUGAUCGUGGAACAAAGGGAUGCAACAAUUCAAGCUUGUGUUACCCGAUAUGUGAUGCUUGAACAGAAGCACUCUUUGGCAGAGUAUAAGAUAAUAAAGCUGGAAUCUGAGAAUUCCAAUGUUAAGGAUCAGCUGAACGAGUGAGAAUGAAGGAUGCAUGGGUAAAAGUCGCACGACACGUUGAUAUUGUGGAAAGAGAAGUCCGAUCUAAGAAGGCUAAAAUAGAUGAUAUGUAUUUCUCUUUUUGGACAGCAAUUAGGAGAACCCAACAUCGAGUUUUGAAUUACCCUAUAAAUUGUGGUCAACCCCAAUUCGAUAUGGAUCGAAGAUUAAUGAUUCAGAUAUGGAUCAGGAAUACGAUGAAGCAGUUGAGGGUGGAAUAUGCCCUAUAGCAAAAGUUAAUUCCAGCGGUAAUGAUGACACUAAAGGCUAUCCCGGAAAAGUCAAAGUCGGUGGUUCAAGUGAGAGCGCUUUUCGUAACUUCCCAAUA